CGGACGGGUGAGUAAUGUCUGGGAAACUGCCCGAUGGAGGGGGAUAACUACUGGAAACGGUAGCUAAUACCGCAUAACGUCGCAAGACCAAAGAGGGGGACCUUAGGGCCUCUUGCCAUCGGAUGUGCCCAGAUGGGAUUAGCUAGUAGGUGGGGUAACGGCUCACCUAGGCGGCGAUCCCUAGCUGGUCUGAGAGGAUGACCAGCCACACUGGAACUGAGACACGGUCCAG
rnacentral:rRNA from 1 species